UACGUAGGGUGCAAGCGUUGUCCGGAAUUAUUGGGCGUAAAGAGCUCGUAGGCGGUCUGUCGCGUCGGCUGUGAAAUCCCGGAGCUCAACUCCGGGCCUGCAGUCGAUACGGGCAGACUGGAGUUCGGCAGGGGAGACUGGAAUUCCUGGUGUAGCGGUGAAAUGCGCAGAUAUCAGGAGGAACACCGAUGGCGAAGGCAGGUCUCUGGGCCACUACUGACGUGAGAAGCGAAAGCAUGGGGAGCGAACAGG
rnacentral:rRNA from 1 species